GGUAAUAGUCCUUAGCAGUUAGAUGGUACUUUCUCCUCCAAACAGCGCUGUCAGUCACCUUGUCUCCUGUGACUCUAACAGAAACUCUCUGAGUUAAGAAAGUCACCGUUCCUGCUCUAAAAGGAGGGAAACUGAGGGUCACCUGUGGUCACGCAGGGAUAUGGAGUGUGAAGGUCAGGAGUGGAAGAUGACAACACCAAGGCGCCUGGCCUGAGAAGCUAAAGGAUGAACUGGCAUUAACUGAAAUGGGGAAGACCAUGAAUGGAACAGACUGGGGGGCCAGCUGAGUGGAGCCCCCUCCAGGAAGCCGAGCAGCUGCACCCGCGUCAGCACUUCCUUCCUGCGGCCCACCACCCCUCCCGGACCCCACAUCAGCAAGCGGCCCUACGGAAGUACCUUUACUUAUGGAAUCUGCUGCGGGUAAUUCUCAACCAGUCUGGGUCAGCGAGUCUGCUCAGUCAUGGACUUCGUUUCUAGGAAACUGCUGGUCCUGAGAUAUGACUACAAAGUACAACUGAAUUUUGUUUAAAACCCCACCAACAAACAUAUAAACAGAUACAACCCCCGCUUGGAGACCCAGUGGGCAGUAUGAGUUGAAGCACAGCCCACCCCAUGACCAGGGCUGGGCUACAAAGUACUUACUAACUGGCUCUGGGAGCGUAGUUCCAUCAUGACUAUUGUUUGAUAUUUCUUC